rnacentral:lncRNA from 1 species
AACUCUUGAGUGUGGAUGUCAAGGCAACAAAGCUGCUGCGUAAAAAGAGAGAAAAAUAAUAAUAAAAUAAAACCCCAGAGAUUAAAAGAAAUGACACCCUGCCAAGAAUCCAUGGGGUACAUGGUUCAGCAUUUCAGAACCCACAACCACUGCAAGAAGUAUUUAUCUGAGAAAAACAACAAGACUUUGCCUUACCUUUCCAAAUGUGUUUAAAGGAUUGACAACAGUGAUUUCUGGACCCCCAAGAAGUAGCUGCCUUUUCCUCCUGUUUUCUUGAACCUUCAUCCAAGAACUAACUGGCUUUUAACAUCCUUCCUUGACACCUUGGUCUCACACUGAGACUAUGCGGUAAGGAUCUCAGGACUGCUAUAACUUUUAUUGUCCCACUGACUGUUUAAAUAUAAAACAAUG